rnacentral:rRNA from 1 species
AAACGACUCUCGGCAACGGAUAUCCCGGCUCUCGCAUCGAUGAAGAACGUAGCGAAAUGCGAUACUUGGUGUGAAUUGCAGAAUCCCGUGAACCAUCGAGUCUUUGAACGCAAGUUGCGCCCGAAGUCACUAGGCUGAGGGUACGCCUGCCUGGGUGUCACGC